AAUGAACGUUGGCGGCGUGGAUUAGGCAUGCAAGUCGCGCGACAAGCCCCGCAAGGGGUGGAGGAGCGGCAAACGGGGUAGUAAGGCAUCGGAACGUACCCUCUAGUCGGGGAUAGCGGCGGGAAACUGCCGGUAAUACCCGAUGAUAUCUUCGGAUCAAAGGUCCGCCGCUGGAGGAGCGGUCGAUGUGGUAUCAGGUAGUUGGCGGGGUAAUGGCCCACCAAGCCGUAGACGCCUAGGGGGUGUGAGAGCACGACCCCCACCACUGGGACUGAGAUACUGCCCAGACACCUACGGGUGGCUGCAGUCGAGAAUCUUCGGCAAUGGGCGCAAGCCUGACCGAGCGACGCCGCGUGCGGGAUGAAGGCCCUUGGGUUGUAAACCGCUGUCAGGGGGGAGCAAGCCGCAAGAUUGAGCGAGCCCCAGAGGAAGCACGGGCUAAGUUCGUGCCAGCAGCCGCGGUAAUACGAACUGUGCGAACGUUAUUCGGAAUCACUGGGCUUACAGGGUG
rnacentral:rRNA from 1 species